UGCCAGCAUCCUCGGUAAUACGGAGGGGGCUAACGUUGUUCGGAAUUACUGGGCGUAAAGGGUCUGUAGGUUGUUGGUUAAGUCUAUGGUCAAAUUCCGAAGCUCAACUUCGGGCCGGCACUAGAAACUAAUCAACUUGAGUACGUUAGAGGCAGGGGGAAUUCCCAGUGUAGCGGUGAAAUGCGUAGAUAUUGGGAGGAACAUCAAUGGCGAAGGCACCCUGCUAGGCCGAUACUGACACUGAAAGACGAAAGCUAGGGGAGCAAAUGGGAUUAGAUA
rnacentral:rRNA from 1 species